rnacentral:rRNA from 2 species
CACCGCGGUUAUACGAGAGGCCCAAGUUGACAAACACCGGCGUAAAGCGUGGUUAAGUUAAUUCUCAUACUAAAGCCAAACACCUUCAAAGCUGUUAUACGCAACCGAAGGCAGGAAGUUCAACCACGAAAGUGGCUUUAAUUUGAUCUGAACCCACGAAAGCUAAGGAA